rnacentral:lncRNA from 1 species
CUAGAGUCAAAUAUUAUUCCCAUUGUGGAAUACAUUACAAAGUAGAAAAACAAAUUUUCUGGUAUUAUGAAAAGCCAAUAACUGUUUUCUGUUGUUCAAUACUUAAAUCAGAAAGUUGUCCCUUCCUAAUCUGAGAAAGUAAGAAAUUUUUAGGUAAUGACAUCACUUCUUUCCGAAUAUGACAUGCCAUUUUGUUUGAUUUUAGCAAUAAUCUAUAAUUUCAGUGACUAGAUCUUACAUCACAGAUUCACAUACUAUCACUGAGAUGGUUGGUAAAGGGUGGCAAUGGUUGGCUAAUAGGGACAAAGAAUACAGACCAGUGAAUAUUCAGGUUAAACAGAUUGCAUUUACAGUUGAGCAGCACAUUUCCCAGCUAUUAAUACCAAGGACUAAUCAUAGUUCAUACAUCCUCACUCUUCACAGCCUGGCAAAAGGCUUUGGCAGCAGAAGGCUGAGUCAUUUUUAUCUCCCGUUGCCAUGGGAUCCUAUUGCCCUGGAGACCCUUCUACCAGAGCCUGCAGCACCAGCCACAGCGUCACUCACACUGAGAACUCUCCCAGGGCAGGAGCUGAGGUGGCCCACCAGUGAUCCCUUUUCAAAAUCAGAAAGUGUCAUUUCUGCAGUGGUUAAGGGCCAGUUAAUGUCAAGGGAAAGUCCCUACGUCCACUCUGGCAUUUGGCUAAAUCCAGUCCUGCUUUACCUACAGCUGGGAUCGGUCAUUGAGGAGAGGAGCGGAGCCGUCAGGAGGGAAUCGAAAGCCUGUUUAUCUUCCCUAAGAAUCAUUGUCUGGCCUCUGCUAUUCAUGUCAGCAGCAGCAUUUGCCUCUUGGGAAACCUACAGGAGAGGCCGAGACGCCUCAUCUGCAUGCGUGCUUGCUGGAGCCUGGCAAAUGGGCACCUGGUUUAUUUUCUGGGUAUCUUUAUGCUCAUUCGCAAAGAAAGAAAAUCCACUUUAUUACAAGGAACAAAAACACAAUGGAAAGAACCCAGGUGGCUGA